UACGAAGGGAGCUAGCGUUGUUCGGAAUCACUGGGCGUAAAGCGCACGUAGGCGGAUGUGUCAGUCAGGGGUGAAAUCCCGGAGCUCAACUUCGGAACUGCCUUUGAUACAGCACGUCUUGAGUCCGAUAGAGGUGGGUGGAAUUCCUAGUGUAGAGGUGAAAUUCGUAGAUAUUCGCAAGAACACCAGUGGCGAAGGCGGCUCACUGGCCCGGUACUGACUCUGAGGUGCGAAAGCGUGGGGAGCAAACAGG
rnacentral:rRNA from 1 species